UACGUAGGGUGCAAGCGUUAUCCGGAAUUACUGGGCGUAAAGCGCGUGUAGGCGGCCAUCUAAGUCGGGCGUGAAAUCCCACGGCUCAACCGUGGAAGUGCACUCGAAACUGGAUGGCUAGAGUCCUGGAGAGGAAGGUGGAAUGCUUGGUGUAGAGGUGAAAUUCGUAGAUAUCAAGCGGAACACCGAUGGCGAAGGCAGGUCUCUGGGCCACUACUGACGCUGAGAAGCGAAAGCAUGGGGAGCGAACAGG
rnacentral:rRNA from 1 species